UGGCGGAAUGCUUUACACAUGCAAGUCGAACGGCAGCACGGGAGCAAUCCUGGUGGCGAGUGGCGAACGGGUGAGUAAUAUAUCGGAACGUGCCCGGUCGUGGGGGAUAACGUAGCGAAAGCUACGCUAAUACCGCAUACGAUCUACGGAUGAAAGCGGGGGAUCGCAAGACCUCGCGCGAUUGGAGCGGCCGAUAUCAGAUUAGGUAGUUGGUGAGGUAAAGGCUCACCAAGCCGACGAUCUGUAGCUGGUCUGAGAGGACGACCAGCCACACUGGGACUGAGACACGGCCCAGACUCCUACGGGAGGCAGCAGUGGGGAAUUUUGGACAAUGGGCGCAAGCCUGAUCCAGCAAUGCCGCGUGCAGGAUGAAGGCCUUCGGGUUGUAAACUGCUUUUGUACGGAACGAAACGGUGAGCUCUAAUACAGUUUGCUAAUGACGGUACUGUAAGAAUAAGGAUCGGCUAACUCCGUG
rnacentral:rRNA from 1 species